rnacentral:lncRNA from 1 species
GGGUGGCCCAAGGUGACGGUUGGUGGCCCCCCCCCCAGGCCCAACGGUAGCCGCGCGGAGCCCCGGGCCUGGCGGGCCGUGGUGGGCCGUCUCCGGUUGGAGGAGCCGGGGGGUCAGGAGAGGCCGGUGGUGGAGGUGGUGGUCCACGAGGACUACCGGCGGGUGGAAGGUGGCCACGACCUGGCGCUGGCCCGGCUGGAGCCCCCGGUGGCCCUGGGGCCGCGGGUGGGGACCAUCUGCCUGCCCCGCCCCCACCACCCCUUCGCCUUCGGAGCCCCCUGUUGGGUCACCGGCUGGGGCAACGUGGCUGAGAACGUGUCGCUGCCGGCGGGGUCCCCCCUGCAGAAGGUGGCCCUGGACCUGCUGAGCCCCAACAUCUGCAACUGCCUCCACUCGCGGCUGCGCCAGCGGGAGCUGGGCCACCCCGCCCGCCCCACCAUGGUCUGCGCCGGGGGGGCCCAGGGGGGCAAGGGGGCCUGCCAGGUGAGGGCGCUAUGGGGCUGGGGGGCCCAUGGGGGGUCUAUGGGGUCCAUGGGGCUCUAUGGGGUCUAUGGGGCUCAUGGGAUCUAUGGGGUCCAUGGGGGGUCUAUGGGGCGCCCUAUGGGGUCUGUAGGGUCUAUGGGGUCCAUGGGACUCUAUGGGGCACUACGGGGCCCAUGGGGUCUCUAUGGGUCUCUAUGGGGUCUAUGGGGCGCCCUAUGGGGACUCUAUGGGGUCUAUGGGUCUCUAUGGGGUCUCUAUGGGUCUCUAUGGGGUCUAUGGGUCUCUAUGGGGUCUCUAUGGGUCUCUAUGAGACAUUAUGGGGUCUCUAUGGGGCGCCCUAUGGGGUCUAUAGGGAUUUCUAUGGGGUCUAUGGGGCCAUGGGAGGUCUAUGGGGCACUCUAUGGGGUCUGUAGGGUCUAUGGGGUCCAUGGGGGUCUCUAUGGGGCACCCUAUGGGGUCUGUAGGGUCUAUGGGGUCUAUGGGGCCAUGGGGGGUCUAUGGGUGGUCUGUAGGGUCCACAGGGGUCUUUGGGCUUCAUGGGGUCUAUAGGGUCCACGGGGCUCUAUGGGGUCCAUGGGGGGUCUACGGGUGGUCUGUAGGGUCCACAGGGGUCUUUGGGCUUCAUGGGGUCUAUAGGGUCCACGGGGCUCUAUGGGGUCCAUGGGGCUCUAUGGGGUGCUAUGGGCUCUAUGGGCUCUAUGGGUUCUAUGGGGCCCACGGCGUCCCUAUGGGUCUCUAUGGGGUCUCUAUGGGGUCUAUGGGUCUCUAUGGUGUCCAUGGGGCUCUAUGGGGUGCUAUGGGCUCUAUGGGCUCUAUGGGUUCUAUGGGGCACCCUAUGGGGUCUCUAUGGGUCUCUAUGGGGUCCAUGGGGCUCUAUGGGGCACUAUGGUCCCUAUGGGUCCCUAUGGGGUCUAUGGGGCGCUAUGGGUCUCUAUGGUGCCUAUGGGUCUUUAUGGGGUCUAUGGGCUCUAUGGGGCCAUGGGAGGUCUAUGGGGCGCCCUAUGGGGUCUGUAGGGGUCUCUAUGGGGUCUAUGGGGUCUAUGGGGUCUCUAGGGGUCUCUAUGGGUCACUAUGGCAUCUAUGGGGCACCCUAUGGGGUCUAUGGCUCUCUAUGGGAUCUAUGGGGCCCAUAGGGUCUCUAUGGGGUCUCUAUGGGCUCUAUGGGUCUCUAUGGGCUCUAUGGGUCUCUGUGGGUUCUAUGGGGCACCCUAUGGGCUCUAUGGGGUUUAUAGGGGUCUCUAUGGGGUCUAUGGGUCUCUAUGGGGUCCAUGGGUCUCUAUGGGCUCUAUGGGGCCCAGGGGGUCCCUAUGGGUUGCGCUAUGGGGUUUAUAGGGGUCUCUAUGGGUCUCUAUGGGGCACCCCAUGGGGUCUAUGGGUCUGUAUGGGCCUCUAUGGGAUCUAUGGGUCCAUGGGGGAUCUAUGGGGGGUCUAUGGGGUCUAUGGGGCCAUGUGAGGUCUAUGGGGUCUAUGGGGCACCCUAUGGGGUCCAUGGGUCUCUAUGGGGCACCCUAUGGGGUCUAUGGGUCACUAUGGGGUCUCUAUGGGUCUCUAUGGGUCACUAUGGGCUCUAUGGGUCUCUGUGGGGUGCCCUAUGGGGUCUCUAUGGGUCUCUAUGGGUCACUAUGGGGCCCAUGGGGUCUAUGGGUCUCUAUGGGUCUCUAUGGGGUCUAUGGGGCCCAUGGGUCUCUAUGGGGCCUCUAUGGUUCACUAUGGGCUCUAUGGGUCUCUAUGGGGUCUAUGGGUCUCUGUGGGUUCUAUGGGGCACCCUAUGGGGUCUAUGGGGUCUCUAUGGGGCCCAGGGGGUCCCUAUGGGUGGCGCUAUGGGUCGCGCGUGCCCCCGCAGGCGGACUCGGGGGGCCCGGUGGCGUGUGUGGGGCCGGGGGGGCGGUGGGUGCAGGCGGGGGU